UUGUUUGAACCGCAUGGUUCAAACAUAAAAGGUGGCUUCGGCUACCACUUACAGAUGGACCCGCGGCGCAUUAGCUAGUUGGUGAGGUAAUGGCUCACCAAGGCAACGAUGCGUAGCCGACCUGAGAGGGUGAUCGGCCACACUGGGACUGAGACACGGCCCAGACUCCUACGGGAGGCAGCAGUAGGGAAUCUUCCGCAAUGGACGAAAGUCUGACGGAGCAACGCCGCGUGAGUGAUGAAGGUUUUCGGAUCGUAAAGCUCUGUUGUUAGGGAAGAACAAGUACCGUUCGAAUAGGGCGGUACCUUGACGGUACCUAACCAGAAAGCCACGGCUAACUACGUGCCAGCAGCCGCGGUAAUACGUAGGUGGCAAGCGUUGUCCGGAAUUAUUGGGCGUAAAGGGCUCGCAGGCGGUUUCUUAAGUCUGAUGUGAAAGCCCCCGGCUCAACCGGGGAGGGUCAUUGGAAACUGGGGAACUUGAGUGCAGAAGAGGAGAGUGGAAAUUCCACGUGUAGCGGUGAAAUGCGUAGAGAUGUGGAGGAACACCAGUGGCGAAGCGACUCUCUGGUCUGUAACUGACGCU
rnacentral:rRNA from 1 species